UUUUUUACAUAGCUUUAUCCUGGUAUGUGAUAAGGGCCUACAAGAGGGUAUGCAGUUUCUCCACUGGAAUUAAAAAGCUAUAUGGUUCUUUAGCCAAAAUUCGACUUGGAACGAAGCUGAGCGGUUUUGCCAGUCUUACACCGUACCUUCUCUCAGUGGCGAGGCAAC
rnacentral:misc_RNA from 1 species